ACCACAACUCAUCAUCUAUAGUAUCUUGUACAUCCGAGUAGUUUCUUGAUCACCUAACAAGUCUUUGGCAAGUACAUAUGACUUCCAAUCUCUUGUUCUGAUGAUCUCAACUCUCAAUCCGGAUCCAUUGACUUAAAUAAACCUCUCGGUUGUUUCCAACACUCAGAAAAAUUUAUUGGAUAACUCUCUCGAGUAAUCCAGAACACCUUAAGCAAUCCGAUCAUUCUCCAAAUGAUCUUAACUCAGACUUCAUUCAACCAAUCCAAUCAUUCAUCAAUGAUCUUAUCUCCGGUUUCUUUCCAGCUAGACUUCUAACUUACAUUUGCCCAUACAAAGUGUAAGUCCGACUUGAUCACUCCCAAGAUCAAGUCUCUCGUCAGUUCUCCUAUGCUCGCGCUUAGCAUUUUCCAUGUCCGUUCGGUCUACACAAAUGUUGAAUAAUCCUUCCAACUCUGUCCUAGAACCGUAAUCGCUCUGAUACCACUUGAAAGGCC
rnacentral:lncRNA from 1 species